AGUGAACGCUGGCGGUAGGCCUAACACAUGCAAGUCGAACGGCAGCACAGUAAGAGCUUGCUCUUACGGGUGGCGAGUGGCGGACGGGUGAGGAAUACAUCGGAAUCUACUUUUUCGUGGGGGAUAACGUAGGGAAACUUACGCUAAUACCGCAUACGACCUACGGGUGAAAGCAGGGGAUUUCGGGACUUUCCCCGAUUGAUGGGCCGAUGUCGGAUUAGCUAGUUGGCGGGGUAAAGGCCCACCAAGGCGACGAUCCGUAGCUGGUCUGAGAGGAUGAUCAGCCACACUGGAACUGAGACACGGUCCAGACUCCUACGGGAGGCAGCAGUGGGGAAUAUUGGACAAUGGGCGCAAGCCUGAUCCAGCCAUACCGCGUGGGUGAAGAAGGCCUUCGGGUUGUAAAGCCCUUUUGUUGGGAAAGAAAAGCAGCAGGUUAAUACCCCGCUGUUCUGACGGUACCCAAAGAAUAAGCACCGGCUAACUUCGUG
rnacentral:rRNA from 1 species